GACGAACGCUGGCGGCGUGCUUAACACAUGCAAGUCGAGCGGAGCGGCGAACGGGUGCGUAACGCGUGAGUAACUGCCCCCCUCUCUGGGAUAACAGUUGGAAACGGCUGCUAAUACCGGAUAGUGGGGGAUGACUGGCCCCCUAUCAGCUUGUUGGUGGGGUAGUGGCCUCCCACGGCGACGCCGGGUAGCCGGCCUGGGAGGGCGACCGGCCACAGUGGGCUGAGAUACGGCGCAAACUCCUACGGGGGGCAGCAGGGGGGAAUAUUGCACAAUGGGGGAAACCCUGAGGCAGCAACGCCGCGUGCGGGAUGACGGCCUUCGGGUUGUAAACCGCGUUCAGCCAUGACGCGGUAGUGGCAGAAGAAGCACCGGCUAACUACGUGCCAGCAGCCGCGGUAAUUC
rnacentral:rRNA from 1 species